rnacentral:rRNA from 1 species
CCUACGGGAGGCAGCAGUAGGGAAUAUUGCUCAAUGGGGGAAACCCUGAAGCAGCAACGCCGCGUGUAGGAUGAAGGUUUUCGGAUUGUAAACUCCUUUUGUUAGAGAAGAUAAUGACGGUAUCUAACGAAUAAGCACCGGCUAACUCCGUGCCAGCAGCCGCGGUAAUACGGAGGGUGCAAGCGUUACUCGGAAUCACUGGGCGGAAAGAGCGCGUAGGCGGGAUAGCAAGUCAGAUGUUAAAUCCUAUGGCUUAACCAUAGAACUGCAUUUGAAACUGUUAUUCUAGAGUAUGGGAGAGGUAGGUGGAAUUCUUGGUGUAGGGGUAAAAUCCGUAGAGAUCAAGAGGAAUACUCAUUGCGAAGGCGACCUGCUAGAACAUAACUGACGCUGAUGCGCGAAAGCGUGGGGAGCAAACAGGAUUAGAUACCCGAGUAGUC